GGCGAGUGUCUCUCAUCUUCCUGCAGGACUGCUCAGCCUUGUUCACAAGGAAUUUGGGCAAGAUCCCAAGGAGAGGGGGAGACUGUAAGGCGCUGGAUCCCAGCACUUGGAACUGGUGACCUCUCAGUUCUGCCACAUUCUGUUGGCCCGACAAGGCAUCAUGGAACUGACCAUCCUGGAUGAGAAUGCUACUGGGCUGCUUUUCUGAAAUGUCAAAAAAUAUCACUGAUUGCAACUCUUGCAUUUUACGACAAUAGUAAGUUU
rnacentral:lncRNA from 1 species